rfam:Ananas comosus cultivar MD2 ACMD2_Scaffold_605, whole genome shotgun sequence.
GGAUGCGAUCAUACCAGCACUAAAGCACCGGAUCCCAUCAGAACUCCACAGUUAAGCGUGCUUGGGCGAGAGUAGUCCUAGGAUGGGUGACCCCCUGGGAAGUUGGGGCGUCACAGAUG